rnacentral:rRNA from 1 species
GACGAACGCUGGCGGCGUGCCUAAUACAUGCAAGUUGAGCGCUGAAGGUUGGUACUUGUACCGACUGGAUGAGCAGCGAACGGGUGAGUAACGCGUGGGGAAUCUGCCUUUGAGCGGGGGACAACAUUUGGAAACGAAUGCUAAUACCGCAUAAAAACUUUAAACACAAGUUUUAAGUUUGAAAGAUGCAAUUGCAUCACUCAAAGAUGAUCCCGCGUUGUAUUAGCUAGUUGUUGAGGUAAAGGCUCACCAAGGCGAUGAUACAUAGCGGACCUGAGAGGGGACUAGCCCACGUUGGUACUGAGACACGACCAGCCACACUGCGGCAGGCAGCAGUAGCAAACCCUCGGCGAUGGCAGAAAGGCUGAACGAGAAACGAUGCGUGAGUGAAGAAGCUUGUCGUGUCGCAAAACUCUGUUGGUAGUGAAGAUUGUUGGUGAGAGUGGACAGCGAAUAAAGUGACGGUAACUACACAGAAAGGGACGGCUAACUACGUG